rnacentral:rRNA from 1 species
UACGUAGGGGGCAAGCGUUGUCCGGAAUCAUUGGGCGUAAAGAGCGUGUAGGCGGCCCUGUAAGUCCGCUGUGAAAGUCAAAGGCUCAACCUUUGAAAGCCGGUGGAUACUGCAGGGCUAGAGUCCGGAAGAGGCGAGUGGAAUUCCUGGUGUAGCGGUGGAAUGCGCAGAUAUCAGGAGGAACACCGGUGGCGAAGGCAGCAUCCUGGACCAACACUGACGCUGAGGAGCGAAAGCCAGGGGAGCAAACGGG